UUCAUUAUCAGAUCUGGGUUACCAUCGUCUUCCACUCUUCUCCACACCAUCGCCGCACCAUCACCACACCUCCGCCGACGCCGUCUCCACUCGCCACUCGCCGCCGCACGUCGCUGCUCUCCUUCGCCGUCCAGCGUUGCCGUCCAGCGUCGCCGUCCAACACCACUGCCCUCCGACGCCGUCCAAUGCUGUUUCCCUCGGUCGCGUCCACCCCGUCGCCUCCAGCUCCGUCGCUGUCGUCUCACUUUACCUCUCCAAGGCCGACGGAUUAGAGCCUCCUCUCCUCAACUCCACCGUAUAUUUAUUUCUAUCCCGAUUUUCUGCCGAACCCUAGGGUGAAAGAUGAGGUUUGUGUUUUGCUCUCUUGGAGGGUGGUGCUGUGAAGGUACUGAAGACUCAUAAGUAUGAAUUUGAGGCAUCUAACAAAAUCAAGAACGGAACAAAAGAGUCCAUUACCAAGCUUGUCUCUGACUUGAAUAGUGCAAAGUUGGAGUCUGACGUUGGUUUUUGUGUUUUUGGCAGUUGAGUAUGAAACCCCAAAGAAUGCCCUGAAUCAGGUGUUGGACAGAUGAUGUGGCGGCUUAAUUUCUUGGUGUUCUUUUGCUGCAUUGUUCUAAACAACAGUUAUGUGGUUUAGGCAGCUGUAUUAUCUGACUAGCCCCCAGAGUCAAGUGGUUUCUUUCUCUAUCUCAAAUAAACUUAUUUCAUAAUUUGGUUCAGACCAUUGAAAAAGCUUGAGGAAUGACUACUACAUUGGGAUGAGUUGUUCCUAAAUGCUAGCAAGUUGAAAAGGAAGGCAUAUCCAUCUCAUAACAAGUUACAUGCUUGCAAUGCAUAUGCUAUAUCAUGUUUUCAGCAUUGAGUUCAGGACUGCCAUAUUGUGGUUUCCUUUGCCAGAUUGAGUUCAUGAUUGCUUUUGUUGUGGUUGCUGGGCUAAAGGGAAACAGAAAAUACAUGCUUAUGCUGGAUGUGUUUUGUUAAUUGGGACAAUAGUUCAACAGUUCUCAUCAAUAUCUUUUAACUAACCAGAAUGUUUGUAACUUGGGACUUAUAUUUAUGAUUUUAAAGUUAAGAAUUUGAUUUGUAUGU